UGCUAAUACCGGAUGAUGUCUUCGGACCAAAGAUUUAUCGGCAAGGGAUGAGCCCGCGUAGGAUUAGGUAGUUGGUGGGGUAAAGGCCUACCAAGCCGACGAUCCUUAGCUGGUCUGAGAGGAUGAUCAGCCACACUGGGACUGAGACACGGCCCAGACUCCUACGGGAGGCAGCAGUGGGGAAUAUUGGACAAUGGGCGCAAGCCUGAUCCAGCAAUGCCGCGUGAGUGAUGAAGGCCCUCGGGUCGUAAAGCUCUUUUACCAGGGAUGAUAAUGACAGUACCUGGAGAAUAAGCUCCGGCUAACUCCGUGCCAGCAGCCGCGGUAAUACGGAGGGAGCUAGCGUUGUUCGGAAUUACUGGGCGUAAAGCGCACGUAGGCGGCUACUCAAGUCAGAGGUGAAAGCCCGGGGCUCAACCCCGGAACUGCCUUUGAAACUAGGU
rnacentral:rRNA from 1 species